rnacentral:misc_RNA from 1 species
GUGAAUCAUCAAAUUUUUGAACGCAUAUUGCACUCUCUGGUAUUCCGGAGAGUAUGCCUGUUUGAGGGUAAUUAAGAAGAAUCUUUAACCAAUUUUUUUUGGUCAAAGGAAAUGAGUUCUCCGCGUUUAUAGCGGUAGCUUGAAAUAAAUGGUCAAGUCUCAUUUUGUCCAGACGCGGUAUUAUAUUAAUUCGCGGAAUUCUUAAUA